rnacentral:tRNA from 1 species
GCUUUUGAAGGAAAACAGCUAUUCCUCUGGUCUUAGGACCCAGCACUUCUUGGUGCAAACCCAAGUAAAAGCU